UGCAUGUGUCGAAAGACUAUGAUGUUGUGAAGAUAAUGAAAUCGAUGCUACAGUGUGCAAGAAGAAAGGUGUGCAAGUUAUCACACGAGGAUGUUCUGGAAUCUUAUUCUUCCAAGCCUCCAGGAAAUUGAAGUUCCAAAUUGGUUUGAUGGGGGUGAGCUGGACACAAGUGUGCUUCCUGGUCAUGACCCUCGGUAUGAUAUUUUGAUAAAAAUCCCCAGGAAUCUGAAGGCUGAGAGAAUAGGAUUGGUUGUCUGUCUUGUUUUUGAACUUACCCAAGUUUUUUUAGAUCAUUCUAGUGGUUGUUUAGUGACGGUUGUGAUUGAUAAAAAAGUGUAUUAUGACUCUACUAGCCACUUCUUUAAAUCAAAAGCGACAAAGUCAUCAGCUCAAGAUCAUGCAUUAGUGCAUCUGACAUGUAUUGCUUUCAAGGAGCUAGAGGUGGUGGAUCUUGUGGUUCGAGUGUCACCUUUUGGGAGUUCCCGCCCUGCCAGAGGGUUGCUCCUAAAAAGUUUCGGGGUCCACUUGGCUAAUAUGAAAGAGGAUCAUGUAAGUGGUGAAGACCUGGCACGAGAAAGAUAUAGGCAGAGCAAUGCUAGCAUUUCUGAUCAGGUGGCUUUGCACGCAGAAGGGGCAGCUGUAGCAUCAUUAGUAUCAGAUGACAGCAAUUACGGGGAAGUACACGAUGAUCAUCAUGAUGAGGAACAAGAACGAGAACAGGAACCUCAUCUUCCAACAAAAAGAUUUGAAGACUUGGCAAGACAAAAAACAUAGGCAGAGCAAUGUUAGCAUUUUUGAGGUGCUUUGGAAUUACCUGCUUGUGAUUUUGGUCACGCACAAGGUUCAGCUAGCUCUAGUAUAAUCAUCAUCAAGUACCGAUUGAGGCCUUGAAGUACACUAUGAUCGAUCGUUAAUACUUGGAUUUCAGAAGAAGAUUUUUAUUUGCCAAAGUUGAUCCCGAAAGAUGGCAAUUGAUGGUGAGAGGGGCAGAGGCACCAAUUAAUCUGGACUCAUGGAAUGGUCAAAUCUCAAUCAAUCCACACAAACAAGGCUGGUUGUUAUUCUAUUCUACUUUUGCCGUUGUUUUCAUGCAAUAGAAGGGAGUGGAUUUAGCUCUUUCCAAUCUUCGAUCUUUCGAUAAAAGGUCUUAGUAUAGUUUCUUCUUAACUCCAGUGAUAUGGCUAUUGCAUGUUUAGAGCUCUAGCAUGCUUGCAUAAACAGGGCACGUGCACCGAGAUAUUAAGCCCGGAAACUUCCUCUUCUCUCAGAAGCUAAGCAAAGGUUACCUGAUUGAUUUCAACCUUGCCAUGGUUUGGCAAACGGCUUCUCUGUACCAUUUGGUUCACACAGCAGCUCUGCUUACUGCAGCCCUCACAACAAACCCCAAUAUUUUUGGAGGCCUUUUAACUACAGGUAUACUCGCAUUCUCGGGGACGUUUUAAAUUGCAAGACCAGGUAUAGGUAGUCUACUGGUCUUCACUAAAUUGCAAGACCAGGUAGCAAGGUGAAAAGCUUACCUGCUGUGCGUCGUCGUUUCCGCGUUGUUCCCCAUGAGCGUGGUGAGUGUUCUUGGAACUUCUGGACUGUACAUGUCAGGAUCAUAUGUUGAGCAAAGACCUUAGCCACAGAGUUUCAGAUGAUUCUACUAUGUGUGGACAUCAUUUAUGAUUGUGGAAACGCGUGGGAAACAUAACAAGGGAACAACCUCCUCAGCACCUUUGCUUUAUCAGUGACUGGAGAACCCAGUGUACUCUGCCUCUUUCUUCUCCAAACUCCAGAAACUCUUUCACAGUCUCUCUUGUUGUCGCAUAGCUUUCAAUGGUGAUCAUUGAAGAAGCCUCUCAUCCAUGGACAUACCAUGUCUUUCUGAGUUUUCGAGGUGAGGAUACACGCAACAAUUUCACAGGCCAUCUAUGCAGCGCAUUACUUCGGGAGGGAAUCGACACCUUCAUGGAUGAUCAGCUCAAACGAGGAGAAGAAAUAUCAUUGUGUUCUCUGAAAACUAUGCAUCCUCCAAGUGGUGCUUGGAUGAACUUGUCAAGAUUCUCGAGUGCAGGAAAUCAAUUCAACAAAUGGUUCGACCAGUUUUCUACAAAGUCGAUCCCUCGGAUAUACGAAAUCACGAAGGUAGCUUUGGGAAGGCACUUGCUAAUCAUGAAUGCAAAUUCAAAGAUAACCCGGACAAGGUCCAGGAAUGGAAGGCAGCUCUUACAGUAGCGGCAAAUUUAUCCGGGUGGCAUCUCUCAGAGCAUUGUAAUGAACCCAGUGUUAUUCAUGAAAUUGUUAAAGAGAUUUCAAAGCAAGUCAUAAACAGUACAAAGUUGGAUGUGGCCGCGUACCCAGUAGGAAUAGAACCUCGUGUGCAAGAGAUCCAUAAGCUUUUAGGUGUCGAGGGAAGAGAUGUUCAUAUGGUAGGGAUAUGGGGGGCUGGUGGAAUAGGCAAGACAACAAUUGCUAAAGCUGUCUAUAACUCAAUUGCUCAUAAAUUUGAUGGGAGUUGUUUUUUGGAAAAUGUUAGGGAAAAUUCAAUGGGUGCCAAAGGCUUUGUCAAACUACAAAAGAAACUUCUUUGUGAGAUUCUAAAGGUAACAAAAUUGAAGGUGACCAAUGUAGCAAGAGGAAUCACUAUGAUUAGGGAAAGGUUGCAAUACAAAAGUGUUCUCUUAGUUCUUGAUGAUGUGAAUGGCAUGGAUCAGAUAGAUAACUUAGCUGGUCAAUGUAGUUGGUUUGGAAUGGGUAGUAGAAUCAUCAUAACAACAAGGGAUAAGCAAUUGCUGAGGCAUCAUAAUGUUAAUAACUUAAUAUACGAGGUCCAGAAAUUGGAUCAUCAUGAAGCUCUCGAGCUAUUAAGUAUGAAUGCCUUUAAAAGAAGUCGACCUUUGGAUGCUUAUGCAGAACUCACAGAACGUGCAAUACGCUAUGCUCAAGGCCUUCCGUUAGCUUUGACUGUUUUAGGUUCUUCUCUAUGCAAUGAAACUGCAGAGCUGUGGGGAGCUGCAUUAGAUGGUUUCAAAAGCAGCAAAAUUCAAGAUGUUUUAAAAAUAAGUUACAACGGAUUGGAUCACAUAGUGAAGGAAGCUUUUCUUGACAUUGCAUGUUUCUUUAAAGGUGAACGUAGAGCUUACGUGAUAGAAAUAUUAGAAGCUUGUGGUUGCAAACAUGCUAAGAUUGUUAUCAAUGUGCUCGUAGAAAAGGCCCUCAUUAGAAUUACAUACCAUGAUUCCAUUUGGAUGCAUGACUUGGUAGAAAAAAUGGGUAGAGAUAUAGUUCAUGAAUUGUCACCCAAUGACCCUGGAAACCGAAGCAGGUUGUGGUUUCAUGAAGAUGUUUACCGUGUUCUAACAGAGAAUAUUGGAACAACCAAUGUUAUAGGCAUCAAGGUGGAGCUGCCCAAAGAUUCAGAUGUGAUAUGUUUAAGAGGGACCACUUUCUCCAACAUGCGAAAUCUUAGACUUUUCAUAUACCGUGCUGGACGCUAUUCUGGCGCUGUUGAUAAUCUGCCAAAUAGCUUGAGGGUAGUUGAUUGGCUUAAAUAUCCCUUACAAUUUUUGCCAUCCAAUUUAAUUCCAAGAGAACUUUCUCUAAUCAAUAUGUCUAGGAGUCGGAUCACAGUAUUGGGAGAUGGAUACAAGAUGAUAAAUCUGACAUCAAUAAAUCUAAGUAAUUGUCAGUACCUAACGAAAGUGUCAGACUUAUCGGGAAUCCCAAAAUUGCGACAUUUGGAUCUAGAUUUAUGUAGAAAUUUAGUUGAAGUGCAUCCUUCCGUUGGAUUCCUCGAUAAUCUUGAGUAUUUGAGUCUAUGCCGGUGCUCUAGGCUUGAGACUUUUCCCACGGAAUUUACUUGGAAAUCCAUGAGGAAUCUUCUGCUUCCCUUGUGUGGAAGGCUUGAUAAUUUCAUUAAAAUUGUGCACAAGAUGGAGUCCAUUAAAACAUUGGAUCUAAUGGUAAGUGGCAUAAACCAACUGCACUUGGAAAUUUUGAUGUUGAAUGGAACUUCAAUCAACCAACUGCCCUUAAGGAUUGAAAGUCCUUUUUUUUUAUAGAGAAUUGGGCCUGAUUAGAACUUCCUUAACGGAAUUGCCGUCAUCGAUUGGGUAUUGCACUUCCUUGAAGAUAUUGGACGCGUCUGAAACUCCCAUUGAAGAAUUGCCUUCAUCAAUUGGGGAUCUCACGUCCUUGCAGUUUUUGGACGUUUCUAAAACUUCCAUCAGAGAACUGCCUUCUUCAAUCGGGAAUCUCACGUCCUUGAACGCAUUGAACGCUUCUGAAACUCUGAUUGAAGAAUUGCCCCUGUCAAUUGGAAAUCUCAAUCGCCUUCAAGAAUUGCAACUAAAAGGAUGUGCAAACCUUACAAAUGUGCCGCACGGUGUUUACGGAGGGCUGCAGCAUCUAGGAUGGCUAGACCUCUCUUGGUGCCCAAAGCUGGUUACAUUUCCAGGUAGGGGGAGAGCUUUGGUUUCAUCAACUGCAGAAUCUCUUCCUUCGAUGCCUCCAUCUAAUUCAAACAAUGGGCAUGAUGACCCUGGUUCAUUAUUGUUUCCCCAGCUUCAGUGGCUUGAAUUUGAAGGAUGCCAAUUAUCAGUGGUCUCUGAUUUCCUAACGAAUCUUGACUGUGCAUCCACAUUACGGAGUCUUAAUCUAUCAGGAAGCAGUUUUGAUAGUCUUCCGGCAUGCAUCACCAAAUUUCAUGAGUUGUAUGAACUUCCACCAAAUAUACUAGAAAUAAAGCUGGAUGAUUGCGUAUCGUUGGAAAGAUUUUCAAAAUUGUCAAAUAUACUGGAACAGAAAGACACUCUGGGAUGUCUUUACGAUAGCGAGAUGCACUUGUCUAAUUGCAAUAGACUGAUGGAUAAUCUUGGCAUGGACGUGGUGUCGAAGAUGGCAAAAGCAUUACCGUAUCAGCUAGUGCGUGCCGGCUUAGAUCAGCAUGUGAAGUUCUGGAAUCUUAUUCUUCCAAACCUCCAGGAAAUUGAAGUUCCAAAUUGGUUUGAUGGGGGUGAGGUGGACACAAGUGUGCUUCCUGGUCAUGACCCUGAGUAUGAUAUAUGUGAAAUUUUGAUAAAAAUCCCCAGGAAUCUGAAGGCUGAGAGAAUAGGAUUGGUUGUCUGUGUUGUUUUUGAACUUCCCCAAGAUUUUUUAUUUGAUGAUAAUCGUUGUUCAGUGAGGGUUGUGAUUGAUAAAAAGAAUUAUUACUCUAGUCGCAACUACAUUGAAUUAAAAGCGACAGAGUCAUCAGCUUAUGAUAAUGUAUGUGUGUGUCUGACAUGUAUUGCUUUCAAGGAGCUAGAGGUGGUGGAUCCUGUGGUUCGAGUAUGUUUUAAGGGCAGCGAUGGAUUGCUCCUAAAGAGUUUUGGGGUCCACCUGGCUAAUAUGAAAGAGGAUCAUGGAAGUGGUGAAGACUUGGAACGAGAAAGAUAUAGGCAGAGCAAUGCUAGCAUUUCUGAUCAGGUGGCUUUGCACGCAGAAGGGGCAGCUGUAGCAUCAUUAGUAUCAGAUGACAGCAAUUACGGGGAAGUACACGAUGAUCAUCACAAUGGGGAA